rnacentral:rRNA from 1 species
GGGUUGUGAGGUUAAGCGACUAAGCGUACACGGUGGAUGCCCUGGCAGUCAGAGGCGAUGAAGGACGUGCUAAUCUGCGAUAAGCGUCGGUAAGGUGAUAUGAACCGUUAUAACCGGCGAUUUCCGAAUGGGGAAACCCAGUGUGAUUCGUCACACUAUCAUUAACUGAAUCCAUAGGUUAAUGAGGCGAACCGGGGGAACUGAAACAUCUAAGUACCCCGAGGAAAAGAAAUCAACCGAGAUUCCCCCAGUAGCGGCGAGCGAACGGGGAGCAGCCCAGAGCCUGAAUCAGUGUGUGUGUUAGUGGAAGCGUCUGGAAAGGCGCGCGAUACAGGGUGACAGCCCCGUACACAAAAAUGCACAUGCUGUGAGCUCGAUGAGUAGGGCGGGACACGUGGUAUCCUGUCUGAAUAUGGGGGGACCAUCCUCCAAGGCUAAAUACUCCUGACUGACCGAUAGUGAACCAGUACCGUGAGGGAAAGGCGAAAAGAACCCCGGCGAGGGGAGUGAAAAAGAACCUGAAACCGUGUACGUACAAGCAGUGGGAGCACGCUUAGGCGUGUGACUGCGUACCUUUUGUAUAAUGGGUCAGCGACUUAUAUUCUGUAGCAAGGUUAACCGAAUAGGGGAGCCGAAGGGAAACCGAGUCUUAACUGGGCGUUAAGUUGCAGGGUAUAGACCCGAAACCCGGUGAUCUAGCCAUGGGCAGGUUGAAGGUUGGGUAACACUAACUGGAGGACCGAACCGACUAAUGUUGAAAAAUUAGCGGAUGACUUGUGGCUGGGGGUGAAAGGCCAAUCAAACCGGGAGAUAGCUGGUUCUCCCCGAAAGCUAUUUAGGUAGCGCCUCGUGAAUUCAUCUCCGGGGGUAGAGCACUGUUUCGGCAAGGGGGUCAUCCCGACUUACCAACCCGAUGCAAACUGCGAAUACCGGAGAAUGUUAUCACGGGAGACACACGGCGGGUGCUAACGUCCGUCGUGAAGAGGGAAACAACCCAGACCGCCAGCUAAGGUCCCAAAGUCAUGGUUAAGUGGGAAACGAUGUGGGAAGGCCCAGACAGCCAGGAUGUUGGCUUAGAAGCAGCCAUCAUUUAAAGAAAGCGUAAUAGCUCACUGGUCGAGUCGGCCUGCGCGGAAGAUGUAACGGGGCUAAACCAUGCACCGAAGCUGCGGCAGCGACGCUGAUGCGUUGUUGGGUAGGGGAGCGUUCUGUAAGCCUGCGAAGGUGUGCUGUGAGGCAUGCUGGAGGUAUCAGAAGUGCGAAUGCUGACAUAAGUAACGAUAAAGCGGGUGAAAAGCCCGCUCGCCGGAAGACCAAGGGUUCCUGUCCAACGUUAAUCGGGGCAGGGUGAGUCGACCCCUAAGGCGAGGCCGAAAGGCGUAGUCGAUGGGAAACAGGUUAAUAUUCCUGUACUUGGUGUUACUGCGAAGGGGGGACGGAGAAGGCUAUGUUGGCCGGGCGACGGUUGUCCCGGUUUAAGCGUGUAGGCUGGUUUUCCAGGCAAAUCCGGAAAAUCAAGGCUGAGGCGUGAUGACGAGGCACUACGGUGCUGAAGCAACAAAUGCCCUGCUUCCAGGAAAAGCCUCUAAGCAUCAGGUAACAUCAAAUCGUACCCCAAACCGACACAGGUGGUCAGGUAGAGAAUACCAAGGCGCUUGAGAGAACUCGGGUGAAGGAACUAGGCAAAAUGGUGCCGUAACUUCGGGAGAAGGCACGCUGAUAUGUAGGUGAAGCGACUUGCUCGUGGAGCUGAAAUCAGUCGAAGAUACCAGCUGGCUGCAACUGUUUAUUAAAAACACAGCACUGUGCAAACACGAAAGUGGACGUAUACGGUGUGACGCCUGCCCGGUGCCGGAAGGUUAAUUGAUGGGGUCAGCGCAAGCGAAGCUCUUGAUCGAAGCCCCGGUAAACGGCGGCCGUAACUAUAACGGUCCUAAGGUAGCGAAAUUCCUUGUCGGGUAAGUUCCGACCUGCACGAAUGGCGUAAUGAUGGCCAGGCUGUCUCCACCCGAGACUCAGUGAAAUUGAACUCGCUGUGAAGAUGCAGUGUACCCGCGGCAAGACGGAAAGACCCCGUGAACCUUUACUAUAGCUUGACACUGAACAUUGAGCCUUGAUGUGUAGGAUAGGUGGGAGGCUUUGAAGUGUGGACGCCAGUCUGCAUGGAGCCGACCUUGAAAUACCACCCUUUAAUGUUUGAUGUUCUAACGUGGACCCGUAAUCCGGGUUGCGGACAGUGUCUGGUGGGUAGUUUGACUGGGGCGGUCUCCUCCUAAAGAGUAACGGAGGAGCACGAAGGUUGGCUAAUCCUGGUCGGACAUCAGGAGGUUAGUGCAAUGGCAUAAGCCAGCUUGACUGCGAGCGUGACGGCGCGAGCAGGUGCGAAAGCAGGUCAUAGUGAUCCGGUGGUUCUGAAUGGAAGGGCCAUCGCUCAACGGAUAAAAGGUACUCCGGGGAUAACAGGCUGAUACCGCCCAAGAGUUCAUAUCGACGGCGGUGUUUGGCACCUCGAUGUCGGCUCAUCACAUCCUGGGGCUGAAGUAGGUCCCAAGGGUAUGGCUGUUCGCCAUUUAAAGUGGUACGCGAGCUGGGUUUAGAACGUCGUGAGACAGUUCGGUCCCUAUCUGCCGUGGGCGCUGGAGAACUGAGGGGGGCUGCUCCUAGUACGAGAGGACCGGAGUGGACGCAUCACUGGUGUUCGGGUUGUCAUGCCAAUGGCACUGCCCGGUAGCUAAAUGCGGAAGAGAUAAGUGCUGAAAGCAUCUAAGCACGAAACUUGCCCCGAGAUGAGUUCUCCCUGACUCCUUGAGAGUCCUGAAGGAACGUUGAAGACGACGACGUUGAUAGGCCGGGUGUGUAAGCGCAGCGAUGCGUUGAGCUAACCGGUACUAAUGAACCGUGAGGCUUAACCUUACAACGCCGAAG